UGCAUGGCAGGACUUGUGCCUAACCAUUAAGCGAUCUCUCCAGCCACAAACGCUGAACUUUUCCUCCAAGCGCCCUGGGGAUUGAACCUGGGGCCUCAGCCAUAUCAGACAAGUUCUGCCUCCAGGCUGCCCCUCCAGCACUGCUGCCACAGGCUUUGCUGUUCUUGCCACUGUUUUGUUUUGUUUCUGUUGGUUUUUGCUCCAAUCUCUUCUCUCGCUCUGCGUUUUUCCUCUUUGCCUUUGUGACAUGUAGGCUAGCACCUGCGCUGUGGGAGAGAGUUCUUGUCACCGUGACUCAUCGUGCAGUGAGCACAAGGAAGAGCAAAGGGAUAGGAUGUGUAAGUUUUUACUGGUGUCUAGCACUUGGUAAACAGUAAAUGGAAGGCAGCAAUAAAAAAGUCAAGUUCACAAAGAUUAAAUCUCUCCAGUGUUAGUAAAACCAUAAGAGCAGAAUCUAUUGGAAUUCCUACAAAGUGCUUUCUUCAGGCUAAAAGCAGAUUCUCAUCCUAGAAAAGAAGAUCACCUCAGUCACAGGUGGAGUGACUGCAUGGAGAGCUGCAGGGACAGAGCCAGUAUGGCUGCAGCUCCUGUCAGCUGGAAUGCUGUCUGGGGACUUCAGGAGCUCGCAAGCGUAGGGCUGGAGCUCCAGGAAGCGUCCAAGUGCGCUGGCUUUGCCUCUGCAUUUUUCUGUGCCUCUGUCUCAUUCUGUUUCUGGCUGUGCUUGGGCGUGGAUGGCCCAGAAAGUGGAUCAGCUGCCUCCUGGGCCCAUGGGGUCCUUUGCAGGCGGAGAGCCAAGAGAGACAGGAAGCAGUUCCUGGAAUCGCAGACCUAGGCUGGGAAGAGUGGGAGUGAUACAGUGGUCACACCCUAGAGAGCUGCAGUGAUCCUCUCCAAGCCCCUCAGAAAAUGCUGCGACCACCAACAGCGACGACCUUGGCUGCUGUGAGUUCCCAAGGGUCCCUCCAUGCCCAGAAGAGUCUGUUUUACUCUAGUCCUCCCCAACCUUCGGCUCUUACGGCCUUGCCAUCCUCUCAUAAGCAGUGAAGUCUUGGUGUUAUAGAUGUGCCUUUAGCAGGGACACCAUAAGAGUCAACAAGCAUGAAGCAGAGAGACAAGAGGAAAAGAUGCUCACUUGUUGCUGGUCUGUGCAAUGGGGAGAUCUAGCCCACAAAAUGUUCUUUAAGGAUUUGUGUAUAUAUCUUCUUAAGCUAGUUGAGGCAGAGACAGAAGUGAGAUUUUACCGAUGGAAUCUGCUCUUGCAUUGAUUAAAGUAUUGCUAGCUGGAAGCUGAUGCUGUACACAUAGGAGCUGAACAUGACUCAGCUGUUGGUGUCUCCUGUGCUGUCAGACCUAUGCCAGGCAACCAGGAGAGGUAAAGCCAGUCUGAGCACAUUUGACAAGAGGCAAAAUUGGACCAUUAUAGUAUCUGGGGUUUUUUCCCCCAUCGUGGAGUAUGCUGAUAACUCACAGAGAGAGUGUGUUACAUUUAUUUUUGUGCACAUGUUAUUUGCAAUCUCUAUAUUUCUUCCAUUACAAUAAAAUUAACAGUUGUGUAUAUGAAGGGGCCUGGGUCUCACUCAUCAAUAAAGAAAUAUUGUCUCCUGA